rnacentral:rRNA from 1 species
GAACGAGUUGGAAAGCUUAGCCAGAGACUGUGAUAGCCAGGUAUGCGAAAACGACGCUGACCUUAUUCUGUAUUCUCGAGUAGGUCGGGGCACGAGAAACCCUGAUUGAAUCCGGCUGGACCACCAGCCAAGGCUAAAUAUAGUAUAUGAUCGAUAGUGAACUAGUACGGUGACGGAAAGGUGAAAAGAACCCCGGGAGGGGAGUGAAAUAGAACCUGAAAUUUUGUGCCUACAAGGAGUCGGAGCCCAGCACCUUUGAAAUCGAGUGGUACAAUGUAGGCGGAUGUUCUACGUGUACGUUUUGCAAAGUGAUCGGGAAUCAGAUCAAAUUUACUUCGGUCAGACUAGUGACUUAAGACGACGUCUCUCGGAGCAUAAUUCUGGCAAGGAUACUUAUACCAAGAUAUAUGCGCCAUGGAAGGUUGUCUACUAUGAAGCCUAUUCAUCACGUAAGCUAGCAAUGGCCCGUGAGAGGCAGCUGAAAGCUUAUGGACAAGCCAGGACUGCUCUGAAGAAGAGACUAAAUUUGAUCUGAUACUCGAUUUCAAAGGUGCUGGGUGACGGCGUGCUUUUUGUAGAACGAUCCAGCGAGUUAAUUUUUACGGCGAGGUUAAGUCAGAUGACGAAGCCACAGUGAAAGCGAGCAUUAACAGUGCGAUUUAGUCGUAAGGAUUAGACCCGAAACCAGGUGACCUAACCAUGAGCAGGUUGAAGCAACCUUAAUCGGUUGUGGAGGACCGAACCAGUGUAUGUUACAAAAUGCUUGGAUGACUUGUGGUUAGCGGUGAAAUGCCAAUCGAACUUGGAGAUAGCUGGUUCUCCGCGAAAUAGUUAUAGGACUAGCGUCGUGUGAUAGCUUACGGGGGUAGAGCUCUGUCAAGAGAUAGGGGGAGCAAUCCUACCUACUCUUAAUAAACUACGAAUACCGUAUGUCUGUAUCACGGCAGUUAGAACGUCGGUGCUAAGAUCGGCGCUCAAAAGGGAAACAGCCCAGACCAUCAUCUAAGGUCCCCAAAUUUACGCUAAGUGGGAAACAAGGUGGAAUUUCUUAAACAGCUAGGAUGUUGGCUUAGAAGCAGCCAUUCAUUUAAAGAGUGCGUAACAGCUCACUAGUCAAGAGAUUCUGCGUGGAAGAUAUAACGGGGCUAAGCGUAAUACCGAAGAUAUGGAUUGCAAUUUAUUGCAGUGGUAGCGGAGCGUUCCUAUCGGCAGUGAAGCCGGACUGUUAAGUACCGGUGGAGCGUUAGGAAGUGAGAAUGCUGGAACGAGUAACCAUAAGACAGGUGAGAAUCCUGUCGGCCGAAAGAGCGAGGUUUCCUGGGCUAUGGUAAUCAUCCCAGGGUUAGUCGGGCCUAAGCCGAGGCGUUUAGCGUAGGCGAUGGACAUCAGGUUAAUAUUCCUGAACUAGUCAAACUUUGUAUGCAGUUAGCGAUGAGAUAGGUGGAGCGGAUUCAUGGUUUAUCCGUUCAAGUGAUAGAGGAAUCUUGAUCGAGUAAAAGUGAACCUACGGGUUUACGAUUCCGCUGAAGGCAUUGACCAGAAAAGCUGGCAUACGCAUGGGUUUGGCUACCCGUACCGCAAACCGACACAGGUGCUCGAGUCGAGGAGACUAAGGCUUACGAGAGAAUGAUUGCUAAGGAACUCGGCAAUACAGCGACCGUAACUUCGGAAUAAGGUCUGCCUACAUUUGUAGGCCGCAGCUAAAGAGCCCACGGAACUGUUUAUCAAAAACUCAGGUCUCUGCUAACACGAAAGUGGAUGUAUAGGGGCUGAAACCUGCCCGGUGCCGGAAGGUUAAGGGGAUUGCUUCACGGUGAGAACUGAAGCCCCGGUGAACGGCGGCGGUAACUAUAACCGUCCUAAGGUAGCGAAAUUCCUUGUCAGGU